ensembl:lncRNA
CACCUAUAUGGGGAGACCAGUGCCUCAACCCCGACCCACCCUUCCCAACCUCUUGGUCACUGGGACUCAGGCUUCCUUCUCUGAAACGUUGAUCACCUCCCUGCUCAGCUUCCCUCGGGCACAGAGAGUUUGUCCUGUACAGUGAAAUCCUCAAUUACAGAUCUCCUGUCCGCUAUUGUUUUUCUUUGUUUCCUGGGUGCUGGGAGGGUUGGAGCACAGUGGUUUCCGGGCCAGGCUGCCAGGGUGCAGCCGUCACUCCGCACUUGCUGCUGUGUUACCAGGAGAGGGCUCACUCUGAUGCCCGCCACCAGCCCCUGCGUGUGGAACAGCUGAGCCGUGGGAAGUCGGCCCCAGGCGUGCAUGGCCACCAUGCAGGAAAUAAGAACUUCCUCUCAGGGGUGUGUGGAGAUGAGACGACGUGUGUGAAGAGCCUGCUGGUCAUCUCACAGGCACAGAGACUACGACAGGGAUUGAAGCCACACAGCAGGCGGAGCUGAGGAGGGACGAAGACUCCCGCUUGGUAACUUUAGCAAGAGGUGACAAAGUGCGGGGCUGUGCCUGAGUCAGGCUGACGGCCUGCAGCUUAGCCCUGCCACUCACAAGCUCAGUGACCUGAGGCAGCUUCCUAAGUUUCUCUGUGCCUCAUGUUCUCCAUCUGUAAAAUACAGAUUAUAAUAGUGCACCGGUCCCCGUAGGGUUGCUGGAAGGAGUUAAUUUGUGUCCAGUGCUUGGAAGGGUGCCUGUAUGGAGCACCGAGAAAAUAGUUCAGGUAGUGCUGUGGGACCCUGAGUAAGUCCCUUCCCUCUCUGGGCCUCUGCUUCACCCCCUGUAAAACGAACCAUUAGGCUAGUUCAGCCGGAGGUUCCUUCCUUCCGGCUUUGACGUCCGUCAUUCUGGGGAGUGGAGGCACGGUCCCCAGAACCCUGCUCCCACUGUUUCUGCCCUCACACCCGUGAAGGCAGGGCCCCUCUUCAGCCCCGUCUACCCUUCUCCUCUCCCCUCUUCCGGAGAGACGCCAGAGGAGGGGGCAGUGUUGGCGGUGCAGGAGCAGCGAGGUGGCCCAGGCUGGGGCAGUGGGAGGGGAUAGACCCCUCCGACCAGCCCUCUUUCCAGUUCCCACUGCCCUCCGUGCCCCGGGGGUGGGCAGGCCCCUGCUCCCCUCUGACCCGGGGGGCGCCCACCGAGGCAGGGCUGGCUUGCCCUCUCCAUCAGGAGGGAGGAACCCCCAGGGGAGUGCCCUCCUUGGCUCAGCAGAGUCAGGCAGGCUUUGCCCAAGAAUGAAGACAGCGGAGACCAGGAACCGAGCCCUGACAGCUAGGGGGCCUCAGGCUGGGGGACCCCCGAUUCUCUGGGCCUGUCUUGGGGUCUGAGCACAGACUGGGCCAUGUCUCGGGCCCUCCUGGACCUGGUGACACAGAGGUCACAACCCAGGGAGGUAAGAGCUCAAAGUUCUCGACUGGAAACCCCGGACCAGGAAGCAAAUGCUACUCUCCGUCAGCCCUCCCCUGACCCUCCUCCCCGCACCUGCGGCCAUUGUUUCCAAGGAAAUCAGGCCUCAACCAGGAGGAGGGAGCCUCCCUUCCACCCUCCCCACACCCUCUGCCCUCCCCAGGGACGUUCCCAGGCCUCCCUCAGCCCCGCGCCAUUUCCUUCCCACUCCCUGGCUGGUGCCCCCAGCUGCCCCUCGGUCCAUCUUUCCAUCCAUCCAUCAAUCCCUUUAUUCCGUGCAUAGCUUUUUGCUAGACACUGCACUCGAGGCCAAGGAGGCCUAGAAAAUCUGACACAGCUUCUGUCUCUAUGAACUCCCUGCUCAGGGCGGGAGACGAGAAGCAGGACUUCUCCCAGGGCCGAUCCCAGAGCCCCCGACACUGGCAGGAUCGGGGAAGCUUCUCAGGGGAGCUGAUGCCCGUGCUGGAUUCAGUGAGUCAGCAUGAGGGCACGUGGAGAAGUCUGGAAGCAAGUCUGUCAGCCCCCGAGCGCAGGGCCUGUUGCACUCGCUGUUGGUCACUAGUGUCUGGAACAGCGUGACGUGCAACCGGUGCUCCGUGUGUGUGUUGUGUGCUUAGUCGUGUCUGACUCUGUGUGACCCCAUAGACUGCAGCCCACCAGGCCCCUCCGUCCACAGGAUUCUCCAGGCAAGAGCACUGGAGUGGGCUGCCACUUCCUGCUCUGGUGCUCAGCAGGUGUUGGAACAAGUCACAGUGUUUGGGGACAGCGUCCCACGGCUCUUGAAGCUGAAGCAGCCACUGUGCCUGUGAGCUGAAGCAUCGUGGGCGCUAGGGGACAGGACCACGUGGAGCCUCCGGGGCCCCAGAGACCCCCACACACUUGCUCUGAGGGCAGUAGGGGGCCACGGGGGCCAUAAGCGGCCCAGGGACACCCGCCUCACCCUCCGUUCCCUUCCCCAAUCUAAUCCUCUGAUCAGCCCUGUUGCAGCUGCCCUUUCUCUCAGCCAAGUCCAUAUCAUCUGGUGAUCUGUGGAAAUAAGCACAUGUUAAGCACCUACUGCAUACCAGAUGUCUUGUUGGGAGCUGGAGAUGAACAGUCCUGCCCACACAUUACCCACAGUCCAGGGCUGAGACUCUUCAUAAGUAUAGUUGAUUUAUGACGUCGUGUUAGUUUCCGGUAUACAGCAGCGUGAUUCAGUUUACAUAUAUGUGUUCUUUUUCAUAUUCUUUCCAUUAUGGCUUAUUACAGGAUAGCGGCCACAGUCCCCUGUGCUAUGCAGUAGGGCCUUGCUGUAUCUGUUUUAUACGUAGUAGUUUAGAUCUUCUAAUCCAAAACUCCUACUUUGUCCCUCCCACACCCUCUUUGGUCUUUUGUUACCGGAAAUUACCACAGAACUCACAGUUCAUGCCUGUGAGGCUGUUUCUGUUCCAUAAAUAAGGUCAUUUGCUACCUAUUGUAGAUUCUGCAUACAAGUGGUAUUAUAGGUUUAUCUUCCUCUUUCUGAUUUCCUUCACUCGGUAUGAUCAUCUCUAGGUCCAGCCAUGUCGUUGCAGAUGGCAUUAUUUCAUUCUUUCUAUGGUGAGUAAAUGGAAAAGAAAAUGGCAACACACGCCAGUAUUCUUGCCUGGUGGAUUCCAUAGACGGAGAAGCCUGGCAGGCUACAGUCCAUGGGGUUGCAAAGAGUCAGACGUGACUGAGCUCAUAGGACAGGACAUGGUGAGCAAUAUUCCACUGCGUAUACACAUCUUCUUCAUCCAUUCAUCUGUCGAUGCAUGUUUGGGUUGCUUCCGUGUCUUGGCUAUUGUAAUUAGUGCUGCAGUGAACAUAAGGGUGCAGGUGUCUUUUUGAAUUAGUUUUCUUGGCAUAUAUACCCAGGAGUGGGAUUGUUGGGUCAUAUGGCAACUCUGUUCCUAGAAGGAUGGGGCCUCUUAAUUUGGGGUUCAUGGGGAGGCUGCAGGGGGUCUGUGAGCCCCUGGAAUUGUGUGUGUAUUCUCAAGUAGAUUCUCAAGAGUGACCAGCUCCCCUCACAGGUCAAGACCCACGUGUGUAUGGAAGAAGGUUGCUUCCCCAGCAUUGUGUCUGAACUCUGCUGAGAGAGGUUAGGCCUCAGGACCUUAACCUGACCCUGACUCUGCCCAGGACCCCAGACCCUCCCAACCCUACGUCAAGUUGCUGGCCAUUCCUGGCAGCAGGCGAGGGCCCCGAGCACUUCCUGCCUGGUGGUGCGGCUGCCCGGCAGGGGUGUGCCACCCACAGUCCCAGCCCCUGGAGCAGCUUCAGCUGUAUCAGCUUAGGAUGGUUCUGGGAACUCUGCAGCUGCCACUGUAUCUGGGAAGUCACCAUGGGGGAGGGGCAGGACUCAGGUCAAGGCCUGGGCAGCAGGAUCUGAGGGUCAGAUCCACACUCAGGGGCUCCCUGAGUGCAGCAGCUGGCAAAGGGGCAUCUUUCAAGGCCGAGUCCUGCCUCAGGCUCCUCCCACCCCUCCCCCUGCGCUCUCAGAAAUGUUGUGUGUUUUUCCCUCCAUAUCCCUUUGCCCCUUUUAGCAUCUUCAUUCAUUCAUUCACUUGUUCAUUUCCUUCAUUUAUUCUUGGGCUCCCAGAAGGAGGAUCAGAGAAUGGCUGGGGAGCACCAGGCUCUUGCAUCACCAAGCUGGGCUAGAGGGGGCUCGCAGGGGGUGGGGGGAGGGGAGAAGAGGCCCGCAGAGAGCAUGGGGCUUCCCCAGACAUCAGAGGUGGGGCUCUGCAGGGAGCUGGGGGCUGAGCCCAUGGCUGUAACCCCCUGAGCUGAACUACAGAACGUGGCAGGGGUGGGGUGGGGGUCAUGGGGAGACUAGUCAUCAGGGGCUCUGGAGCCCAGAACAGGAAGUCAACUGGAAAAAUGUAUCCAACGAAUCUCCAGCAUCAGUGGACAGGAUGUACUGAAUCCUCAGUUGUGCCUCCAUUUCCUCAGCUGUAAAAUGGGGACAUGUUGGGAUCAAACGUCUGGGAGGGGGACUUCCCUGGUGGUCCAGAGGUUAAGAAUCCGCCUGUCAAUGCAGGGGACAUGGGUUCAGUCCCUAGUCUAGGAAGAUCCCCUGUGACAUGGGGCAACUGAGCUGCUGCACCACAGCUACUGCGCUCACACUCCCAGAGCCCAAGAGCCACAGCCACGGAAGCCCAUGUGCCCCGGAGUCCACGCUCCACAGCAAGAGAAGCCGCCACAGUGAGGAGCCCGAGCGUCCCAACUGGACACCAGCCCCCACUCACCACAGCUAGAGAAAGCCUGUGCGCAGCAGUGAAGACGCACAGCAGCCAAAAAUAAAAUAUAAAUAUAUAAAAUUGAAAAAAAUUUCAGUACAGGGGGAUUAAUGUGAGAAAUACGUGAAUAAUUCAGUAGCAUGGCUGGUAAAAACCUUGACCCUGGGUUAGCAGUUGGGUCCUUGUGUUCAUUACAUGAUUAAUAACCGAGAGGGUCUAGGGUGAGCGUGGGUCAUAAACUCAGGAUUAUGGUCAAUCCAAUUAACAAGGGUCCUAAAGACAGCCUCUCAAGUGCUUGACACCUGCUCAAUGCUCCCUAACCCUGGCCACCAUCUAGGUGAGAGAGACUGAGGUCCCCACUGGGAGAACCUUCCACUGUCGACAGGUCCGGGCUGAGUGCCAGGCACUCGCACAUUCUCUCGUUUGCUCCUUACAACAUCCCUUUGAAGAAAUUCUCGCUCCCCUUUCAGUGAGAAGAGAAACCGAGAGGCUGGGUGGGAAACUGACCUGCCCAAGGUCUCACAGCCAGCAGCAGCAGAGCUGGGACUUAAACUUGGUUUCCAGACUCUGCUCCUCCCAGAUGCUUCUGCAGCACCAUAAAAAUGGCGCCCGAGGGUCUCUGGACCCUGCCCCCACCACCCCAGGGCCCUGAGCCCCCUCAGUUCCGCUUUCUCAUCCGUUUCCUUAGAGCCUGUCGGGCCUCAGCCAGGCCCCGGGGUCCGCCCCUCCUGGACUGGCUGGGCGCUGUGCGGGUGGUCUGCGUGCCGCCCCUCCUUCCCUCCAGGCCACUCACCCUUCACCCCAGGAGCACGAGUGUGUGUCCUGAGGGAGCGCGGAGGCUAGUGGGGCUCCUCCUGGAAGGACUCACCCUCCAGGUCGGGCCAUUGUGGACCUGGACAUCCAGGGUCAGUGGAGAGCAGGGCUGGCGAGGGAGCCAGAGGCCCCCGGGCACUGGGCCGUCCCCACCACGUUGGCAUCCACAUACACCCGCGCCGGGCCGAGCCCUGACCCUCAGCUCAAACUCCACCCGGCGGGCCCCUGGUCUACAAAAGGCAGAGUCAGAGGGCUCCAGGCUCAGCCCCAAACUGUCUGGCAGGGGCCUACUGUCCUGCCCAGGGCCCCGGCACGGCCCCAGGCCAGGGAGCACGGGAAUGCGGAGAAAGGUCCCGGCUGGGCUCAAACUGCUGCUGGCCCUGCUGCCACGGUGCUCUGUGACCUUCGGCAUUUCAUCGCCCUCUCUGAGCCUCAGUAAAAAGGGAUCUCGGAGGACUGGCUGACCUCGCUCCUCUUCCUGGCUCUGCCCUCCUGUGGGAUUCUAACCCCAGGGAGAGAGUUGGAAGCCUUCCGGUCUUGACUCAAACAUCACCUUCUCAGACUCUCCCCGACCCCUCACCCCCUUUCACACACACACUUAUAAUUGCCCAACACUCCCCAUCCUACACCCUUGCUUCGUUUCUGCCCCACUGCAGGGGUCAUCACCUGCGGACACACUCUCUUACCUACUUAUUUGUGUUUAUUUACUGUCUCCCCAGCUCCAGGGUCAGCUCCGUGGGGGAGUGAGGUUGGUGUGUUCCUUCCGCUGGCAGCAGGUGCUCAGCAAACAAACAUUUGCCGAGGGUGUGACGG